CCCUUAGAUGUCCGGGGCCGCACGCGCGCUACACUGAAGGAAUCAGCGUGGCUUUCUCCCUGACCCGAAAGGGUUGGGAAACCCGUUGAAUCUCCUUCGUGAUAGGGAUUGGGGCUUGAAAUUGUUACCCAUGAACGAGGAAUUCCCAGUAAGCGCGAGUCAUAAGCUCGCGUUGAUUACGUCCCUGCCCUUUGUACACACCGCCCGUCGCUACUACCGAUUGAACGGUUUAGUGAGGGCCUCGGAUUGGUCUCGGCCCGCUCUUUACCGGGCGGCGCCGUUGGUCGAGAAGACGCUCGAACUUGAUCGUUUAGAGGAAGUAAAAGUCGUAACA
rnacentral:rRNA from 1 species